UAUUAUUAGACAAGGAAAGGAGAGUUACUAAGGUAGUAGUUAAAAAAUUAAUGAAAUUUAAAAAAUUUGGCGGUAUUUUAGUCUUUUCAGAGGAAUCUGUUCUGUAAUUGAUAAUACACGAUUAGAAAAACUUGGUUUUGUAUUCAGUUUAUAUACCGCCGUCGUAAGAUUAUUUUGAUAAGAAUUAAAAAUUUCUGGUUUAAUCAAUAUUUAUUAUGUCAGGUCAAGGUGUAGCUUAUAACUAAGGAGAAAUGGAUUACAAUAUAAUUAUAUAAAUGGAUUAAUAUUUUUAAGAUUUUAUGAAGGUGGAUUUGAUUGUAAAUUUGUAAUUAAAAAUUGAUUUGAGCUCUAAAAUAUGCACACAUCGCCCGUCGCUCUCGUUUAUUAAAAUGAG
rnacentral:rRNA from 1 species